GACGAACCGUACGAACGUUAUUCGGAAUCACUGGGCGUAAAGGGUGCGUAGGUGGCGCCGUAAGUCGGGUGUGAAAUUUCGGAGCUUAACUCCGAAACUGCAUUCGAUACUGCGGUGCUUGAGGACUGGAGAGGAGACUGGAAUUCCUGGUGUAGCGGUGAAAUGCGCAGAUAUCAGGAAGAACACCCGUGGCGAAGGCGGCUCUCUGGGACGGUACUGACGCUGAGACGCGAAAGCGUGGGGAGCGAACAGG
rnacentral:rRNA from 1 species